rnacentral:rRNA from 1 species
UGGGGAAUUUUGGACAAUGGGCGAAGCCUGAUCCAGCAAUGCCGCGUGUGUGAAGAAGGCCUUCGGGUUGUAAAGCACUUUUGUCCGGAAAGAAAUCCUUGGCUCUAAUACAGUCGGGGGAUGACGGUACCGGAAGAAUAAGCACCGGCUAACUACGUGCCAGCAGCCGCGGUAAUACGUAGGGUGCAAGCGUUAAUCGGAAUUACUGGGCGUAAAGCGUGCGCAGGCGGUUUGCUAAGACCGAUGUGAAAUCCCCGGGCUCAACCUGGGAACUGCAUUGGUGACUGGCAGGCUAGAGUAUGGCAGAGGGGGGUAGAAUUCCACGUGUAGCAGUGAAAUGCGUAGAGAUGUGGAGGAAUACCGAUGGCGAAGGCAGCCCCCCUGGGCCAAUACUGACGCUCAUGCACGAAAGCGUGGGGAGCAAACAGGAUUAGAUACCCCUGGUAGUCCACGCCCUAAACGAUGUCAACUAGUUGUUGGGGGAUUCAUUUCCUUAGUAACGUAGCUAACGCGUGAAGUUGACCGCCUGGGGAGUACGGUCGCAAGAUUAAACUCAAAUGAAUUGACGGGGUCAUAGCUGUUUCCUG